UACGUAGGCAGCGAGCGUUGUUCGGAGUUACUGGGCGUAAAGGGUGUGUAGGCGGCCUAUUAAGUUUGGUGUGAAAUCUCCCGGCUCAACCGGGAGGGUGCGCCGAAAACUGGGAGGCUAGAGUGCGGGAUGGGAGAGUGGAAUUCCUGGUGUAGCGGUGAAAUGCGCAGAUAUCAGGAAGAACACCCGUGGCGAAGGCGGUUCUCUGGGACGGUACUGACGCUGAGACGCGAAAGCGUGGGGAGCGAACAGG
rnacentral:rRNA from 1 species